GUUCAUUCAACAAAAAUUAGCAGUACUUCCAUCUCGGAAUAUGAAAAUUGCAAGCCGAAUUGUCGGAUCUUCAAAUGCAAUAUGAUGAGCUUUUGGCGACACACCAGCAGACCUGCAAGGAGUUGGAGGAAAUAAAAAUCCACAAGCCUUGGCAGUGACAGCAACUAGAGAAACGACUGACAGUGAAUCCCCAAAAAAUGGGCUCUGAAGUCUAUGCUAUAGGCGAAAACUUGCCAUUCUCGGAGCUCCAUACUCACAUAUGACUUGUUCUGCAACUUUGUGUCUUAUUCUUCCUUAUUUUGCCUUCCAUUUGUAAGACUGUUUGUCAUUAUGGGUCUGCACUGAACAAGGAUCGUGUUUCCUUAUCUUCAAUGAUGUAUGAAAUUAGGAAAUGCUCGAGGACUUUAUAAUUUGUUGCGAUUGUCAUCAUUGUAUACUAUUCUGAUUUCUGAUCCAUGUCAUUCAAUUUAUUUGUCAACAUUACUUUUUGGAUUCAGUAUCAGUCAGUUCUAAAAGUAUUGCUGUCAUGCACCUUCGGAGUCUAUAAAUGUAAAAGAUUAAUGCAAUCAUUCAUCCCAUAGGUGAGGAUGGAAAUAAUAUAUAAUUCA